rnacentral:rRNA from 2 species
UUAAAUUGAAGAGUUUGAUCAUGGCUCAGAUUGAACGCUGGCGGCAGGCCUAACACAUGCAAGUCGAACGGUAACAGGAAGCAGCUUGCUGCUUCGCUGACGAGUGGCGGACGGGUGAGUAAUGUCUGGGAAACUGCCUGAUGGAGGGGGAUAACUACUGGAAACGGUAGCUAAUACCGCAUAACGUCGCAAGACCAAAGAGGGGGACCUUCGGGCCUCUUG